UACGUAGGAGGCAAGCGUUGUCCGGAAUCACUGGGCGUAAAGCGCGUGUAGGUGGAAGAGGAAGUCUGCUGUGAAAGCGCCUGGCUUAACCGGGCGAGGUCGGUGGAAACUCCUCAUCUAGAGGUCGGUAGAGGGGGGUGGAAUUCCGGGUGUAGUGGUGAAAUGCGUAGAGAUCCGGAGGAACACCUGUGGCGAAGGCGGCCCCCUGGGCCGCACCUGACGCUGAGACGCGAAAGCGUGGGGAGCAAACAGG
rnacentral:rRNA from 1 species